UACGUAGGGGGCGAGCGUUGUCCGGAAUCAUUGGGCGUAAAGCGCGUGUAGGCGGCUUGGUAAGUCAGCUGUGAAAGCCCAGGGCUCAACCCUGGGAUGCCGGUUGAUACUGCCAAGCUCGAGUCCGGAAGAGGAGUGUGGAAUUCCUGGUGUAGCGGUGAAAUGCGCAGAUAUCAGGAGGAACACCAAUGGCGAAGGCAGCACUCUGGGACGUGACUGACGCUGAGACGCGAAAGCGUGGGGAGCAAACAGG
rnacentral:rRNA from 1 species